rnacentral:rRNA from 1 species
GAUGAACGCUGGCGGCGUGCAUAACACAUUCAAGUCGAACGAGGUAGCAAUACCUAGUGGCGGACGGGUGAGUAACGCGUGAGCAACCUGCCCUUGUGUGGGGGAUACCGUCUGGAAACGGACGUUAAUACCGCAUAACAUAGCGGAAUCGCAUGGUUCUGCUAUCAAAGAUUUAUUGCGCAAGGAUGGGCUCGCGUUGGAUUAGAUAGUUGGUGAGGUAACGGCCCACCAAGUCUGCGAUCCAUAGCCGGACUGAGAGGUUGAACGGCCACAUUGGAACUGAGAUACGGUCCAGACUCCUACGGGAGGCAGCAGUGGGGAAUAUUGCGCAAUGGGGGAAACCCUGACGCAGCAAUGCCGCGUGAAGGAUGAAGGUUUUCGGAUUGUAAACUUCUUUUACUGAGGACGAAGAAAGUGACGGUACUCAGAGAAUAAGCCACGGCUAACUACGUG